GCUCCCGUAGUUGAACCGGAUACAACGCCUCCCUCCGGAGGAGGUGAUACAGGUUCGAAUCCUGUCGGGAGCA
rnacentral:tRNA from 1 species